rnacentral:rRNA from 1 species
UACAGAGGUGGCAAGCGUUGUUCGGAAUUACUGGGCGUAAAGCGCGCGUAGGCGGCUUUGUAAGUUAGAGGUGAAAGCCCGGAGCUCAACUCCGGAACUGCCUUUAAGACUGCAUCGCUAGAAUCCGGGAGAGGUGAGUGGAAUUCCGAGUGUAGAGGUGAAAUUCGUAGAUAUUCGGAAGAACACCAGUGGCGAAGGCGGCUCACUGGACCGGUAUUGACGCUGAGGUGCGAAAGCGUGGGGAGCAAACAGG